GGUUAAGCGACUAAGCGUACACGGUGGAUGCCCUGGCAGUCAGAGGCGAUGAAGGACGUGCUAAUCUGCGAUAAGCGUCGGUAAGGUGAUAUGAACCGUUAUAACCGGCGAUUUCCGAAUGGGGAAACCCAGUGUGAUUCGUCACACUAUCAUUAACUGAAUCCAUAGGUUAAUGAGGCGAACCGGGGGAACUGAAACAUCUAAGUACCCCGAGGAAAAGAAAUCAACCGAGAUUCCCCCAGUAGCGGCGAGCGAACGGGGAGCAGCCCAGAGCCUGAAUCAGUGUGUGUGUUAGUGGAAGCGUCUGGAAAGGCGUGCGAUACAGGGUGACAGCCCCGUACACAAAAAUGCACAUACUGUGAGCUCGAUGAGUAGGGCGGGACACGUGGUAUCCUGUCUGAAUAUGGGGGGACCAUCCUCCAAGGCUAAAUACUCCUGACUGACCGAUAGUGAACCAGUACCGUGAGGGAAAGGCGAAAAGAACCCCGGCGAGGGGAGUGAAAAAGAACCUGAAACCGUGUACGUACAAGCAGUGGGAGCACGCUUAGGCGUGUGACUGCGUACCUUUUGUAUAAUGGGUCAGCGACUUAUAUUCUGUAGCAAGGUUAACCGAAUAGGGGAGCCGAAGGGAAACCGAGUCUUAACUGGGCGUUAAGUUGCAGGGUAUAGACCCGAAACCCGGUGAUCUAGCCAUGGGCAGGUUGAAGGUUGGGUAACACUAACUGGAGGACCGAACCGACUAAUGUUGAAAAAUUAGCGGAUGACUUGUGGCUGGGGGUGAAAGGCCAAUCAAACCGGGAGAUAGCUGGUUCUCCCCGAAAGCUAUUUAGGUAGCGCCUCGUGAAUUCAUCUCCGGGGGUAGAGCACUGUUUCGGCAAGGGGGUCAUCCCGACUUACCAACCCGAUGCAAACUGCGAAUACCGGAGAAUGUUAUCACGGGAGACACACGGCGGGUGCUAACGUCCGUCGUGAAGAGGGAAACAACCCAGACCGCCAGCUAAGGUCCCAAAGUCAUGGUUAAGUGGGAAACGAUGUGGGAAGGCCCAGACAGCCAGGAUGUUGGCUUAGAAGCAGCCAUCAUUUAAAGAAAGCGUAAUAGCUCACUGGUCGAGUCGGCCUGCGCGGAAGAUGUAACGGGGCUAAACCAUGCACCGAAGCUGCGGCAGCGACACUAUGUGUUGUUGGGUAGGGGAGCGUUCUGUAAGCCUGCGAAGGUGUGCUGUGAGGCAUGCUGGAGGUAUCAGAAGUGCGAAUGCUGACAUAAGUAACGAUAAAGCGGGUGAAAAGCCCGCUCGCCGGAAGACCAAGGGUUCCUGUCCAACGUUAAUCGGGGCAGGGUGAGUCGACCCCUAAGGCGAGGCCGAAAGGCGUAGUCGAUGGGAAACAGGUUAAUAUUCCUGUACUUGGUGUUACUGCGAAGGGGGGACGGAGAAGGCUAUGUUGGCCGGGCGACGGUUGUCCCGGUUUAAGCGUGUAGGCUGGUUUUCCAGGCAAAUCCGGAAAAUCAAGGCUGAGGCGUGAUGACGAGGCACUACGGUGCUGAAGCAACAAAUGCCCUGCUUCCAGGAAAAGCCUCUAAGCAUCAGGUAACAUCAAAUCGUACCCCAAACCGACACAGGUGGUCAGGUAGAGAAUACCAAGGCGCUUGAGAGAACUCGGGUGAAGGAACUAGGCAAAAUGGUGCCGUAACUUCGGGAGAAGGCACGCUGAUAUGUAGGUGAAGUCCCUCGCGGAUGGAGCUGAAAUCAGUCGAAGAUACCAGCUGGCUGCAACUGUUUAUUAAAAACACAGCACUGUGCAAACACGAAAGUGGACGUAUACGGUGUGACGCCUGCCCGGUGCCGGAAGGUUAAUUGAUGGGGUCAGCGCAAGCGAAGCUCUUGAUCGAAGCCCCGGUAAACGGCGGCCGUAACUAUAACGGUCCUAAGGUAGCGAAAUUCCUUGUCGGGUAAGUUCCGACCUGCACGAAUGGCGUAAUGAUGGCCAGGCUGUCUCCACCCGAGACUCAGUGAAAUUGAACUCGCUGUGAAGAUGCAGUGUACCCGCGGCAAGACGGAAAGACCCCGUGAACCUUUACUAUAGCUUGACACUGAACAUUGAGCCUUGAUGUGUAGGAUAGGUGGGAGGCUUUGAAGUGUGGACGCCAGUCUGCAUGGAGCCGACCUUGAAAUACCACCCUUUAAUGUUUGAUGUUCUAACGUUGACCCGUAAUCCGGGUUGCGGACAGUGUCUGGUGGGUAGUUUGACUGGGGCGGUCUCCUCCUAAAGAGUAACGGAGGAGCACGAAGGUUGGCUAAUCCUGGUCGGACAUCAGGAGGUUAGUGCAAUGGCAUAAGCCAGCUUGACUGCGAGCGUGACGGCGCGAGCAGGUGCGAAAGCAGGUCAUAGUGAUCCGGUGGUUCUGAAUGGAAGGGCCAUCGCUCAACGGAUAAAAGGUACUCCGGGGAUAACAGGCUGAUACCGCCCAAGAGUUCAUAUCGACGGCGGUGUUUGGCACCUCGAUGUCGGCUCAUCACAUCCUGGGGCUGAAGUAGGUCCCAAGGGUAUGGCUGUUCGCCAUUUAAAGUGGUACGCGAGCUGGGUUUAGAACGUCGUGAGACAGUUCGGUCCCUAUCUGCCGUGGGCGCUGGAGAACUGAGGGGGGCUGCUCCUAGUACGAGAGGACCGGAGUGGACGCAUCACUGGUGUUCGGGUUGUCAUGCCAAUGGCACUGCCCGGUAGCUAAAUGCGGAAGAGAUAAGUGCUGAAAGCAUCUAAGCACGAAACUUGCCCCGAGAUGAGUUCUCCCUGACUCCUUGAGAGUCCUGAAGGAACGUUGAAGACGACGACGUUGAUAGGCCGGGUGUGUAAGCGCAGCGAUGCGUUGAGCUAACCGGUACUAAUGAACCGUGAGGCUUAACCUU
rnacentral:rRNA from 1 species